UAGUGGCGAACGGGUGAGUAACACGUGGGCAAUCUGCCCUUCACUCUGGGACAAGCCCUGGAAACGGGGUCUAAUACCGGAUACAACCACUGACCUCAUGGUCGNGUGGUGGAAAGCUCCGGCGGUGAAGGAUGAGCCCGCGGCCUAUCAGCUUGUUGGUGAGGUAAUGGCUCACCAAGGCGACGACGGGUAGCCGGCCUGAGAGGGCGACCGGCCACACUGGGACUGAGACACGGCCCAGACUCCUACGGGAGGCAGCAGUGGGGAAUAUUGCACAAUGGGCGAAAGCCUGAUGCAGCGACGCCGCGUGAGGGAUGACGGCCUUCGGGUUGUAAACCUCUUUCAGCAGGGAAGAAGCGAAAGUGACGGUACCUGCAGAAGAAGCGCCGGCUAACUACGUGCCAGCAGCCGCGGUAAUACGUAGGGCGCAAGCGUUGUCCGGAAUUAUUGGGCGUAAAGAGCUCGUAGGCGGCUUGUCACGUCGGGUGUGAAAGCCCGGGGCUUAACCCCGGGUCUGCAUUCGAUACGGGCUAGCUAGAGUGUGGUAGGGGAGAUCGGAAUUCCU
rnacentral:rRNA from 1 species